GGCGUGACGGGCAGCGUCCUUGUGGAGGUGAUGGAUCGCUUCUUCCUUCUCAGCUGUUAGUUUGCUCCCUCAGGCCUGAGUGUGCUUUGCUGGCUGGUCCUGACUGCAGGGUGUGACCCAGCGGUUGGUCCUGAAAUGCGGUGUUUUCCUGAACAUGCUUUUUGAGUGGUGUGUAUAGGUUUUUACCAUGUCACCUUAUCUGCUUCUGUGCUGCCUGAUAGGGUGGCUUCGUGCCACAUGUGGUGAUGCCACGUGGAGUGAAUCAAAGUGACAAGAAAUGGGAGCUGUGGUCCCCGUUGAGCCGGCCUCAUUUCGGCUACAUGGGGGGCUGGGCGGUGGGCAGUCCACAGGGCGUGUUCCCAUCGUCACAGGGGCUGUUCGGCUGCUCAGCGCUGUUCAACGGCGGGAAAGUUUACAAGGGGCUUUGUAAAUUGCUCUUUAUGCUGCCAUCUCAUGAACAUGGAUGGAGUUUCAGUUAGGAGACGUGCUGCCUCUUUCUGGACGCCUGUUUGCCUUCAGACACCCGCAGCCCUGGAGGCGCAGGCCUUGCUAUAGCUUCUCCCUUCUGCCCAUGGGGGACGUGUUUGCCGGCAGGGAUAGGAAACCAGGGAAAGUGAAGAUCGGAAACGGCAGAGGUGGGAGAGGAAACGCUCGGAGAGAGGCCAGGGGAGGGCGGGGUGAGGAGGAAAAGCGCAGAGAAACAGAGGCUCGGAGACGCCGGGGGCGGAAGAGAGGAGCGGGGAGUAAACGCCGGGGCGGCAGGGGCCGCAGAGCGGUUUCCGGGGAAACGUGUUCUAAAGCUUGUUUUCCCCCCGCAGCCCCGUGUCUGGAGAAGUGGUCCACGCAGUCGACGAUGAGACCGUCCUGGUGGACUGCAGCCGGUCUGGUCACCCUCGGAUUAAUAAGACGUACACCUUUGAAAGGUAAGCUCCUUCGGGAUGACGGGGCAGCCACGUCACGCAGAGGUCAGCUCUGCCUCGCGGUUCGAUGGCGAAAAGGUACAGCUUGCCCCGUUGGUCUAAGUGCGAAGGAAAGGCCCUUAGUUCCGUGGACGGAGCACUGUCUUUCCGCAAGUGUUGCUGGACGGCUGGCCGUCCACAGGCCACAGAGAAACGCGUCUUCACCCACGCAGCACACGCCUGUGGAAAGGUUGCCUGAGAUGGAAACUAGGCCCAGAUAG
rnacentral:lncRNA from 1 species